AGCCACCAUGUCACCACCCAAACAACGGUCAGAAUGUCAACGCUGCAGUCGCGAGGCGGAGCACUAAGAAUCAUGGUAGCAGAGGAAUCCCAUAGUAGGAGCAGCCGAGCAGGAUGGAUUUGAACGAACAUCAUUUUUGUGAAAAUUUUGACCCCUACUUUGAAUUACCAUGGUGAUGACACGUGCUUUGGUGGUCCGUCCUCCCAGGGCGGCAAGUACUUCGGCUUUGGAUCCACCACGCUGCCCUCGGCCAAUAGGAACAACGGGUCUGCCCAGGGCGAUGUCAUGCAAGUCGUCUCCCAGAUAAACAAUUAUCUAUGCUAUCUACCAUAAUCUCGUGGUUGCAAUCGAACAGAUGUACAAACAUUUACCAGAUAGCUGCUAUCGUAUUGUAAGCAUCACGUAAUCUUUACUGGUUUUGAAAAGGGAAAAUCUGCUAUAUCAUGAAGUUGGUAUCUUCAGAUCUGCAAAUGGUGAUCGGCUAGCUAAAUUUUUUAGGGGUUGAAUGGCAAUGUUGUAAUCACUAUUGAUUAUCAUCACAUACUAAUCCUAUUAGAGUUCUGAGACACCUUGGUUGUUUUGCGCCAUGGAUUUUGUGAAGCAUAUGUGGUUAAAACGCCAUUUUUAACUCAUGCAAAAGUGAGAGCUCUCAUACAUAUCUGAAAAGAAGGAACGCUAAGAAGUAUUUCUAUCUUUUAGAUUGAAUUAUUUUUGUCUUGGCCUAACGCCCAAUAAGCUCUAUGCAGGAACAAUAUUGAUGUGAAAAGGGACUGAUAUAGAGGUAGUUACCAUAUCCAUUUUUACGCAGAUUUCCGUACUUUGAUGUGUAAGCAGAAGGUUUGUAGAAGUUUCUAGGAAGACUUGGAUUUGCCAAAGAAAAAUGA